rnacentral:rRNA from 1 species
GGCGUAGGGCGCGAGCGUUGUCCGGAUUUAUUGGGCGUAAAGAGCUCGUAGGCGGCUUGUCGCGUCGACCGUGAAAACUUGGGGCUCAACCCCAAGCCUGCGGUCGAUACGGGCAGGCUCGAGUUCGGUAGGGGAGACUGGAAUUCCUGGUGUAGCGGUGAAAUGCGCAGAUAUCAGGAGGAACACCGAUGGCGAAGGCAGGUCUCUGGGCCGAUACUGACGCUGAGGAGCGAAAGCGUGGGGAGCGAACAGG